ensembl:lncRNA
GACAACUGAAGCUUCUACUACCAAAGCUGUGAACCCCACAACCACUCUUAUAUCCUCAGCAACUGCACCUACAACAACAACAAAUGCUGCUACAGCACAAUCUUUGACCACUGAAGGUUAUAAAACCACAACUGAUAGCCCCACAACCACAGAAAAUGCUGCUCCAACAAAGACACCAUCUUCAGCAAUAACAACGGAAGCUUAUACAACCACAGCUGGGAACCCCACCACCAUGCCUGUGUUCUCUGCACCUCCAGCAACAGAAAAUGCUGCUUCAACAACAACUCCAUUGUCUUUGACAACUAACGCUUCUGCUACCCAAGCUGUGAACCCAAUCAGAAACCAAAAUAACAGCAAAAGCUGCUCCAACAACACCAUUGUCAACAACAAAUGAAACUUUAACAACCAAAGCAAUAAACCCCACAACCAUGCCUGUGUUCCCAGAACCUACAACUGCACCUCCAGCAACAGAAAAUGUGGCUCUAGCAACAACAGCACGGUCUUCAACAAGGGAAGCUUCUACAACCACAGCUGUGAAUCCUACAACCAUGUCUGUAUUUCCAGAACCUACAACAAAUACUGCACCACCAACAACAGCAGUAACUUCAACAACUGACGCUUCUACAAUUACAGACCUGUACCCCACAUCCACACCUUUCUCCUCAGCAAAUACAAGUCCACCGAUAAGAACAAUAAGUGCUGCUCCAACACCCUCCUCAGUCACUAAAGCUUAUACAACCACAGAUGUGGCACCCACUUCCUUGCAUGUUUUCUCAGGACCUACAAUUGCACCUCCAGCAACAGAAAAUGGUGUCCUUACCUCAACACUUCCUUCAAUAUCUUCAACUUCUCUUGUAUCACCAAGCACAACAACCGUAUCUCCAACCACAAUACCACUUUUCACAAAAAACAUAACUGCUGCAGAAACAACAUUUGUUACACCCACAACCAUACCAAUGUUGUCAGAAUUUACAAAAUCAUUUCUAACAACCACAUCUUUGCUAAAUGCAACAACAAAUGCAGUGACUCUGACUAGUCUUUCAGAAACACAAAAUCCAGCUCCAACUGCAUUUGUAUCUCAAAGCACAAAAACUGUGUCUUUAGCAACCACUGCACCAACCAUAAUAAUUGCAACUCAAGAAACCACUAUCCCAUUGUCAAUGUCAGCUACUGGUAUUUCGGCAAUUACAAGUGUGACUCCAAUGAGUACGUCUGGAGCUACAACAAGUGUUCCUAUAAACUCAGCUGCUACAAUUGCAUCAAUUCAAACAACAGCAGUGGUGGCAAGCAAACUGCUAUUCAACUCCUCAUUUCCAGUACUCAGUGAAUCUCAGGUCCUCAGUGUUAUCACUAAUCUCCUGAAAUCCAGAGAGUCACAGCUCAGAGAAUCAUUGAAGGUUGUGAAUUUUACCUAUGAAAAAAUCUCAGAAACCUCAUAUGCUGUGGUCUUCACAUUUAACCUGGUUAACAUCAGCAUGUCAGAAGACCCUGAUCUCAGAGGCAACACCUACCAGCAAGUGAAGGAUAUCAUCAAUAAUGCGCUGAACACUCUUCUGAAUGAACCUGGCAAGGACAUUUUUGAACCCAAAUCUUCCAAUUUUACGAGCUCUUCAAACCAGAUUGAUGGCAGGAUGGACUACACCUUCCAGGAUGGAGAUGCCAUACAACCAGUCAGCUUCCUAAAUGAGCUACGUCUGCCAACCACUACAACAGUUCUUCCAGAAACAACAACUGGUUUCUCUGUGACCCUUUCAAAUCUCAUAUCUGUUACAGCAGUGGUCACAAGCAAGCUGGUGUUCAACUCCUCAUCUCCAGUCCCCAGUGAAGCUCUGGUCCUCAGCGCUAUCAACACUCUCCGUCAUUCCAGAGAGUCACAGCUGAAUGAAUCAGUGAAGGUGGUGAAUGUCACCUAUGAGAAAAUUUCGGAAUCUUCCUAUGCUGUCAUUUUUAAAUUUAAUAUGAGUGACAUUAGUAUGCCAAUGGACUCUGGACUCAGAAACAACAUCUACCUGCAAGUACAGGAUACUAUCAAUAAAGCGAUAAACACUCUUCUGAAUGAACCUAGCAGUCCAGCUUUACAACCCAACUCAUCCAACUUUAAGAGUCCAUUAAAUCAGAUUGAGGGCAGUAUGGAGUACAACUUCCAAGAUGCAGAUGUUAGAAAACCAGUCAGGUUCCUACAGGCGCUUAGUUCAUUGACAGUCUUAACAACAGCCAGUACUCUGGCAUCAAGCUCAGCUUCUCCACCAACAUUGUUGGGGAAGGUUUAUAUAAAAAUCCAAUUGGAGUUUCACACACUGGGUCCAAAACCUAGUAAGGAUUACAUUCUAAACUUGGCCAACUCUAAGCUCAACCCACGUUACAGAAAUAAAGAAGACGCAACACCAACCCAGGUUACUAGCCUUGUGGGUAUUACCUAUACAGGACUUAAUGAUACCUCAUAUGCUCUCACAUUUGAAUUUGAAAUCAGUAAUGUACUCAUGUCUGAGAAACGUGAACUAAGGAAUGAAACCAAAACUUCAAUCAAAAGCACUAUAAAUACAUUGCUUGUCGACAUCCUAAAUGAUCCCUCAGCUUCUCAGUUUGAUCUGCAAAACGUUGAAUUCGAUGAUAAUAGCACAGUGAUUCUGGCCAGUGUGCAGUAUGUUUUCUCACAAAGUGACUUGAACACAAACAGCACCUUUGUCAAGGAAAUAUUCAGUGCUAAGGAAGUCUUAACGACAGCCAGUGCUCUGACAACAAGCAUAACUUCUCCACCAACAUUGUUGGGAAAGGCUUAUAUAAAAAUCCUAUUGGUGUUUCACACACUGGGCCCAGUACCUAGUAAGGAUUACAUUCUAAACUUGGCCAACUCUACGCUCAACCCACGUUACAGAACUAAAGUAGACGCAACACCAACCCAGGCUACUAGCCUUGUGGAUAUCGCCUAUACAAAACUUAAUGAGACCUCCUAUGCUCU